GACUGACCGGCGCCCCUCAUAUUCAGCCCAAAUAUGGGGCGGAUAUUUAUAGUACCAGACAAACGAAUCUUCAUUUUUCAGGACUGUGGAGGAACACUGGGUCAGUCAAGCACCCGUUAAUUUUCUAUAUAGCUUCGCUGACAGGUUUGGAUACAUACCGAACUAAGGACUAGGCCUGGAUCGACACAUGGCAUUGAUACUAUUCAAUAUGGAAAAAAUGUGUAAUACAAACACUCCAGUCACUAACAAGUAACAACAGGUUCCGUUUCCACCGGUACCUUGACCAGGAUACAUCCAUCUAUCAUCCCCUUAAUUUGCAGCAACAAACAGCUCGUACGUGUCUGGUGAAAUCGAGGCUAGCUAUGGCGUCCAAAACUCAGCUCUUAGUUUACCUGCUCGUUGCAUUCUUCUUCUUCUUCCUUGUGGCUUCUCCGGUUGAUGCUGCUAGAAAACUAGCUGAUGAUUACACAGGACUUCCACCUAUUCCACCUUCCUACGGCACGCCACCAGCAGGACCGUAGGGCGGAGUUUGCAUCGUACGGUGGAGGGGUUUACAAUUAUACACAUAUACAUAUACAUAUCUGAAAAUAAUGUCCAAAUAUAUAUAUCGGGUACGACCAUACAUAUAUAUAUAAACUUCUACUACGAAUAAAAUGUACUACAUGGGUACGUCGACACACAUGUAUUGUACCUGCUAUAUAUAUGUGUGUGUGUGUGUGUGUGUCUCUACAUGUUUAGAAAACAUAUGUACUUCUCCAUAUGUGUGCCUGUCAUAUCGGCUAUUACCCCGGCCUAUGGUCCUGGCUAUGUAUAUCUCUCUAUCUUUGCUUUCAUAAUUACUAUUUGAACAGUCAAAAAACGUCUUACAUUAUGGGAUGCACGAAGUAGUAAUCAAUCUGCUGGGUGAGCUGGUUGGUACUGGUGUGUUGUGCAGUCGAUGCCAUGAGUUUAUAACAAGUAUUGUAAAGAUUGACCAGAGUUGACUCUUGCGUGAGUGGAGACCGAUUAGUUGCACCUGAACAUCGGUUUUGUCACCCUGUGGAAAAAAGCUGACCUUCCAAAACUAAAGAUGAGACGAGUAAUAAACAUAUUUGACCACUAUACUUUUUUGGAUAUAUAUGUUGGCAACAACCUUUUACAUAGAAGCUGAAAAAUUCUGGUAGCACUUGUUCCAAGAAGUAUUGUAUUUUCGGAGUAGAGGGAAUAUCUAAAUAUUCUUGUUAGUACCGUCUUCUCAGAGAGAUUACCUAUAUAUAACAUAUUAUUAUUAUUGUUCUUUUAUUAAAAGCAUAUAUCCCAUAGUGUUGCUUUUUCAUAGCAAGCAUGUCGUCUA
rnacentral:rRNA from 1 species